rnacentral:lncRNA from 10 species
GCGGCUUUUGUACCCAGUUGCUUCCUGGCUGCUUUACGGUCGAUUUGCAGGCAGUCCGCUUUGUACAAGCCAUGGUAUAGAGGCUUCCUUAUUUACCUCCCUUAUCCUUCAGCUGGAGCUCUGCGAGCCAGAGGCAGCGCUGGCGUUGGAGAGUGAUGGCGGCAUGGCGGUGCGGCGGCGGCUGCGAACACCUUGAGGACGGGUCGCAUUAUGUUGCCCAGGCUGGACUUGAACUUCUGGGCUCGAGCAAUUCUCCCACCUCAGCCUACCAAGCAGCUGGGACUACAGGUCUGCACCACUGCACCCCACCCAUUCAAGUCCACAUCCCCAGAAACGAGGAUAAUGCUUGGCACAAGGUGUUUAUAAUUCCCUUGGUUUUCUUCACAAUUUCACCACAUAAAUUUGCUUUCCUAAAGCCUCAAGAACAGUGUGGAUUAAAGUGGUGCUGUGACUGGAAGUUACUGAAGGAG